GUAUGUGAUUUGGUAUAGCUGAUUUCAUAGUAAUUAUUGUAUAGCGAGUAAUUAUUUCGAGGGUAAAUGUACCGCGAACAUUUAAACGAGCAUGCUGACUAUAAAAGGGCGUGCCGUGGGCAGCUCCGACCGAAAGCAACCAAAAAAUGACAAAAUGGCAACAAUGAAUAUUCUUGAGUCUUGCAAAAAGACGCCCUUGACAGUUACAAUGCACAUUCUUUACAUUUUUACAUUCUUCUUUUGAUACGCCUUCUUCCGCUCUCUCACGAGAUAGUAGACACAACAAAAAUGGCUGUCAAAAGUUUAUUUCAAGAAGCAUGAAGAAGUCUGUUCUCAACCUCCUACUGGGGGUUCCACAGGAGCUAAAGUUCGAGACUGAAGAUACCAAGCAAGUCUUUGUAGGUUUAAUUGACAGUGCUAAGCGUUGUCUUGCUGCCAGACAUUCAUUGGCCCAGCAUGAGGAUCUGACAAACUGAUGCUGAUGUGGACAUAAAUAACUCAAGUCGUGUUGAAGACGCUUUGAAGGACUGCGACUGCCUUUGCUUGUUGACAGUCUCCCUGGGUACACCAUCAACCUAUGUAGAAAAUAAUCGAACUUUCGAUGAAUUUCCACAAUGGCAUAUUUUCAAUGCCGUCUAUUAUGCAAGAAAGCAAGCUUCCUAACUCUUCCACAACGUUCCCUGGACUGGAGCUGACCUGGAGCUGAAAAGAUUCCUUUAUUGUGCAUAGCCUUUUGCUGUAUCUAUUCAUAAAGUAUUUUGUCAGCCAUUAUGAUAAUCAUUUAUUUUUUUGUUUUUUUGUUUCUGCUUCUGGUAAAAAAGAAAAACUACCAAGAAUGUAUUUCCUUUCCCUUUGUGUAA